rnacentral:rRNA from 1 species
GACGUAGGGCGCGAGCGUUGUCCGGAUUUAUUGGGCGUAAAGAGCUCGUAGGCGGCUUGUCGCGUCGAAUGUGAAAACCCACGGCUCAACUGUGGGCUUGCAUUCGAUACGGGCAGGCUAGAGUUCGGUAGGGGAGACGUGGAAUUCCUGGUGUAGCGGUGAAAUGACGCAGAUAUCAGGAGGAACACCGGUGGCGAAGGCGGGACUCUGGGCCGAUACUGACGCUGAGGAGCGAAAGCGUGGGGAGCAAACAGG